rnacentral:lncRNA from 1 species
GAUGCGAGGAUAUAAGGGAGUUUCACCUAAUCGUUAUGAACUUAUAUUCACAAGUAGUAAAGGUUGCUUGUCACAACUGCGUUAAGUAAAUUCUUGGCAUAAGUUUCAUGCAAUUCAUAGUAACAAGUGCCUUGUCAAUGCUUAUGAUUUUCAUAGAACUUAAUGAUCUUUGCUUGUAUCUCUAUUAUGCAAUUCAUGUGGGGAACUUGUGGGGAAUACCUUGGGUUGUCGUUUGCAAUCAUCCAAUUCAAUAACUUUAGGAAAAUCUGAGGGUUAAUUAGUGCAAUUCACGGUUAAUCUGGGGCGUUAGGAAUUCAUGGUUUAUUGAAAAGCAAUUGGAAAUCGUUUUGUAUGCAAGUGUGACAUGUGUGGAGAAGAACCUCCUAGCUAGCCUUUUAUCCAUUCACUUUACUAAAAU